CACAAUAAGUUCCAGGUCGUCCCCACCUAAUAAGAGAAAAAGAAAAAGAAAAGGAAACUCCUGAGCUAAACUAUACUACAACUUCUCCACCGUGCUAAUCAAAGCCUCCAAAUUAUCUACAUGGUUCUUCGGGGCAUACCCCGGAUAAUAAUAUUUACAAACAUCACGAGGCAUUCCCCGGAUAAAUUUAACGAAGGGACAACCUCUCACAUCAAAAUCAACAAAAUCCUAAAGCUAGCCUACCCAAGUGUGGUCAGCCUAAGCAUGCUCCUAGCGGAAGGUGUAAUAUAAGUGAUGAAAUAAAACUAAAAUAAAUUGAAGUUAAUUUCAUGCUCAUAUCUUUUUAGUUCUUUUUUUUCCAUACAUUUGACCAAGCCCCAAUUCCUAAAGUAUGUGAAAAAAUGUAAUUGUCUAAUGAGUUGGCCUGAACCAAAUAUUCUUCCAAUCAACCAAAACAAGUACAUACAAAUAAACAUCCAAGGCAACAAGCAUUCAGUGUUGAAAGAGUAAUAAAAAUAGUAAAAAACUAACCCAAUAUAACAUUUCAAUACACACAGAAAGAAGGGGACAAUGUGAGUUAAGGCCCGACGAACAAUAUAGGAGUUAGUAUGCAAUUAUCUUGAAUGCUACUACUACAUGAACUUUCGGAAAAGAUAAAAAACCAUUUGAGCUAAUUUAAACAAUUCUAGAGGUGAACAUGGAUGAAAUAUAAUGCAAAUAAUGACAAGGCUUCUGCCAAAUACUUAAACUAUUCUAAGAGGACAAAAGUAAGCCCAGAACGUACAAUCAAGGAAAAUAGACCUGCAUAAUUAUGAAAUAGUCAAGUUAAUACCAAAAGACACAACUAGCUUAAACAAUAUUUAAAAAAAACAUGUUUCAUCAUAUAUCAGCACAAAGAACGGGUCUACAAACAAGAACAAGCGGCUCAUCUCGUGAGAAUUUUUUUCGGUUUCAAAGACAUCCCAAACUGUCUGAGACAACAAAAUGAUCCAGUGACUCGCUUAACAUAUUAGGAGAAUAGCAUUGAGACAUUAGACAAAAUAAAGAGUUGCACUUUCUGAUCAUUAUCUUGGGAAGAUAGAGUAGUCAAUUCAAUCCCAAGGUAGAAGGAGAUCAAGUUGGUUUAAGUCCAAAGGCAAAUCCGCUGAACUUCAACAAAACGUUAACUAUUAUUUAUGAAUUCGAACUGAGCUACUCGAGAUUAUUAACAUUGAAGUAUAGGCCAGCAAAACCAACCAUCAGCUGGCCGAGCAGACGAAUCAACAAGAAGGCCAAUUAGAUAGACUGUCUAUUUAUGUAAAACUCUAUGCAAUCGAGUGCAAAAUCAGCGAUCACAAAAUUAAUUCAUAUUGCAGUCCAAUAUGUCAAAACAAACAGAUUUGAAACCACAAAUAUUUGGACAUGAAGGCAAACAGAAUACCAGUGAGGGAAAAAAAUCUAACAAAGAUUAAGUGAGACGUGGAAAACGGAUAUGAACCUGGAUGAAGAUUUCAAUUAGUUCUGUCCAGAAGCAAUUACAAGCGAAUCCAGCAAUGAAAAUUUGAAAAGGGACAAUGACUACAAUGCGACCGGAUCCAAAAUCUAACGAACUCGAUCCCGAACAACACUUAGAUUCCACGGCGCAUCUCAGUCAAACUCCAUAGUUAAGAAUCAAUCUCGAAGUCGGACAGGGGAACUAAUUUUUUUGUAUUGUUAUUUGGGAAAUAAAAAUCAAAGAAGCAAACAAACCAAAAUCUGAUUCUCUUAUUCUAACAUUUCAAACGAACGGGUGACUCCAAUUCCAAAAUAAGAGGAAAACGAAAGCCAUCUCUCAACCCUAGAACCCUCCUCUCCUUUUUUUCUUCUGUCUGUAAUAUAUAUAUAUA
rnacentral:lncRNA from 1 species